UACGUAGGGGGCAAGCGUUGUCCGGAAUCAUUGGGCGUAAAGAGCGUGUAGGCGGCCCGGUAAGUCCGCUGUGAAAGUCCAGGGCUCAACCCUGGAAUGCCGGUGGAAACUGUCGGGCUAGAGUCCGGAAGAGGCGAGUGGAAUUCCUGGUGUAGCGGUGAAAUGCGCAGAUAUCGGGAGGAACACCAAUGGCGAAGGCAGCUCGCUGGGACGUGACUGACGCUGAGGCGCGAAAGCGUGGGGAGCAAACAGG
rnacentral:rRNA from 1 species